AAAAAGACAGUUUUUUUUAAAUUUCACUUAAAUUAAAGGUCACAGUGACCUUGAAAUAGGUUGCGACACACCUUCUACCUAAGAUGCAUAAAUUGGCCAAGUUUGAUGAUUCUAAGUCUAAUAGUUUUCUAGUUAUGAGCCAGACAGGAUAUUUCCAUAUUUGGCCAUAACAUCUUAAUUAAAGGUCAGAGUGACCUACUUUAAAUUGCGACACACCUUCUACCCAAGACGUAUCAGCUGACAAAGUUUGAUAAUCCUAGGCCUAAUAGUAUUAAAGUUAUGAGCCAGACACGAAAAAGCUAACAGACGGACGGAAGGACAUGAAGGCUAUAACAUAAUACGUCCUGUCUUAAGACGGGCGUAUAAAAAAUAGUUUUCAAACAAUAAAU